GGCUAGCUGUAUUGGAAUGAUGGGAAUUUAAACCUCUUCCAGAGUAUCAAUUGGAGGGCAAGUCUGGUGCCAGCAGCCGCGGUAAUUCCAGCUCCAAUAGCGUAUAUUAAAAUUGUUGCAGUUAAAAAGCUCGUAGUUGAAUUUCUGCUGCAUUGCUUGUGUCCCUCUGGGGUCUGUGCAUGUGGCUUUUUUCGGACGGAGUUUCUUUGUCUGAAUGUUUACUUUGAGAAAAUUAGAGUGCUCAAAGCAGGCUUUCGCCUUGAAUAGUUUAGCAUGGAAUAAUAAAGUAGGACUUUGGUUCUAUUUUGUUGGUUUUAGGUACCAAAGUAAUGGUUAAUAGGAACAGUUGGGGGCAUUCGUAUUUAACUGUCAUAGGUGAAAUUCUUAGA
rnacentral:rRNA from 1 species